rnacentral:rRNA from 1 species
GACGAACGCUGGCGGCGUGCUUAACACAUGCAAGUCGAACGGAAAGGCCCUGCUUUUGUGGGGUGCUCGAGUGGCGAACGGGUGAGUAACACGUGAGUAACCUGCCCUUGACUUUGGGAUCACUUCAGGAAACUGGGGCUAAUACCGGCUAGGAGCUCCUGCUGCAUGGUGGGGGUUGGAAGGUUUCGGCGGUUGGGGAUGGACUCGCGGCUUAUCAGCUUGUUGGUGGGGUAGUGGCUUACCAAGGCUUUGACGGGUAGCCGGCCUGAGAGGGUGACCGGCCACAUUGGGACUGAGAUACGGCCCAGACUACUACGGGAGGCAGCAGUGGGGAAUAUUGCACAAUGGGCGGAAGCCUGAUGCAGCAACGCCGCGUGCGGGAUGACGGGCUUCGGGUUGUAAACCGCUUUCGCCUGUGACGAAGCGUGGGUGACGGUAAUGGGUAAAGAAGCACCGGCUAACUACGUG